CUAGUAAAUUCAUUCAUUAUUUCCUCUAGUCAAUUGGCAGACUUCUCUCCUCUCUCUCCCUUUGGCCUUUUUUUUUUUUUUUUUUUUUUGUAGUUCUACCAAGUUAAAUUUUUAGAUCUGAUUCCGUUUAAUUUUUCGGCAUAAUUUUUGUAGUGAGGCCAGUAUUCUGAGCCGGUGAAAUAGUGGUUAUUUUACAGUUGGCCGACCGGUAUUUUGUGUUUUCUGGCAGCGGGUUUUUUGGUCCGUUUGGUCAGAUUUUUAGAUUGUAAAUUGAUACUACAUUAGAGUCCAAGUCAAGGUUGGUUAGGGCUAAUAUUGUAAGGCCAUUUGUAAGGCCGUUGAUAUGAUUUUAGUGGUGUAAUCUGAAUCUUGUAAAACAAACUCGUGUUUUCUCUUAGGAGGUUCUUUACAUAGUGACGGGCUUGGGUUUUUGCCUCUGAACCCCCCAGAUUAGGCUUGGUCGAACUGGGUGAACAAUUUGUGUGUUCUUUAAUUUUCUGUAAUGUUUUUAUUAUUGCUGUGGUUGAGUAUUGGUGAUUGAAUUGGGUGAAAAAUCCCAACAGUUACAUGUCUUUAUUGCAACAUAUAGCUUUAGAGGAGGGGAAUUAAUAGAAUAAAAUACCAUCUUCCUAGAAUUAAAUGUCAAAUAUCUCAAUGUAAGAAAGUUCCUUUUGAUGUUCGAUUUAAAUUUCAAGUUCUUAAGGAUAUAUCUCAAAAGAAAAAAAAAUGCUAAAGAGGCUCAUGAUUGUACUUUUGAGGAUAAUUAUAUAGAUUUAGAAAUUGGAGGAGAGGAAAUUCAAGAAAUGCAUGUGUCUUCAGAAAAACAAAGGCAAGAAAAAGGGAAGAGGAAAGCAAGUGAAGGGAUUGAAUGCUCCAAUAAUUACUCCUAGAUCUCAGCCUAGUAUAAAGAGUAUUUUGGUUGGUAAACAAGCAAUAGAGAGAGCUCAUAUGGCUUGGACUAGGCAGUUUUAUGAUGCUUGCAUUCCAUUUAAUGCUUUGCAAUCACCUUACUUUCAACUUGCUUUAGAUGCUAAUGCUGCAGUUGGUCCAAGAUUUAAAGGACCAUCUUAUAACGACAUUUGUGUUAAUUUGUUGAGAGAUCGCAAGAAGGAAUGUCAUUUACUUGUUGAUAAUUAUUGAACUCAAUGGAUAAUUAAUGGAUGCAAAAUUAUGGCCGAUGGUUGGAGCGAUCAAAGGCAUAGAACUUUGAAUAAUUUUUUAGUACAUUGCUCUUCUGAAAUUGUAUUCGGAAAAUCUUAUGAUGCCUCAAAUGUAGUGAGAGAUGCUCAAACACUGUGUAAUUAGUUUUUCGAGAUUCAAAU
rnacentral:lncRNA from 1 species